UACCUCGGCUUUGCAUACAUCUUUGCCAAUGCUUGCUCUGCAAGGGCAGCGUGCAUCUCAUGCAGCUGCUGCAGCUUCCCCUCAGCCACCUGCGCUUCUCGCUGCAGCUCCUCCCUCAGCCGGCCACCCUCCUCCUAGAAGACAAUGGUGGGCACCAGCAAAAAGAUGGACAUCUCAUUGGCCUCAAAAUCUGCUUAAAUGCAAACUUGCAUUCAAAAAAGAAGGAUCUUUCAGACUAAGGCCCCUCUUUCCCCAAACCAGACAACAAGGUACCGAUCUGCUCCUCUUUCAUUUCUGCAUCCAUCCGCAUACUCAGCACCCUUGCCAUGUGCCCAGGCAACACCAACACUUGGCAGCAGCUGCUGCAGCAUCAGGGUAAUUUUUGCAAGGAUCAAAUUGCAACAUGAGGCACAAAGCAGGAGUGCUGUGGCUCAGGAGCGCCGUGCACACCUGCAGUGCCCUGAUGCGAGCCAACUGCUCCUCUGGAUUUGGCGGCUCAGGAACUCUACGAGCUACGGCUUCUAUAUUCUUGAUUGCCUGCAAUGAAAAUAGAGGGAUGUGUGGAGUGUUUAAACAGGUGCACGAGCUGGUAGCUGAACACAGCAACAGUCGGGGUGGUGCUUUUGGUGCCUUAGAAAGGAUAUGUGGGGAUUUGUUGCUCAGGCACACAACAGGAUCCAACACUUGCAAGAUCCAGCUCGAGCAACAACUGAUGAAGCAUGCCUAGCCAGCACAGCUUUUUGCACCAAAUCCUUUGACACCUGCAAUUAUCAUGGGAAGGUAUAAGAAACAAAGCACAUGUUUGCUUUGAAGCACGCGCCUACCUGGACCAGCUCCAGAGCAAAUCCAUCUGCUCGCUGCCGCGCAUCGUAUGUUGUGGGGGCCAACGGAGG
rnacentral:lncRNA from 1 species